AGUACUCAUGUGUGGUUUUGCUGAGCUUGUGGACAAAGAUUUAAAGACAGGUGGGGACAUAAGUCCUCAUUUUCAACCCAGAACUCUUUGUUCAGUGUGGCUUUGGAUAUAUACAUGGAGGAAUACG